CGGACGGGUGAGUAAUGUCUGGGAAACUGCCUGAUGGAGGGGGAUAGCUACUGGAAACGGUAGCUAAUACCGCAUAACGUCGCAAGACCAAAGAGGGGGACCUUCGGGCCUCUUGCCAUCGGAUGUGCCCAGAUGGGAUUAGCUAGUAGGUGGGGUAACGGCUCACCUAGGCGACGAUCCCUAGCUGGUCUGAGAGGAUGACCAGCCACACUGGAACUGAGACACGGUCCAG
rnacentral:rRNA from 1 species